AGCGAACGCUGGCGGCAGGCUUAACACAUGCAAGUCGAGCGGGCACUUUCGGGUGUCAGCGGCGGACGGGUGAGUAACGCAUGGGAACGUGCCCUCUGGUUCGGAAUAACUCAGGGAAACUUGAGCUAAUACCGGAUACGCCCUUUUGGGGAAAGGCUUGCUGCCGGAGGAUCGGCCCGCGUCUGAUUAGCUAGUUGGUGAGGUAACGGCUCACCAAGGCGACGAUCAGUAGCUGGUCUGAGAGGAUGAUCAGCCACACUGGGACUGAGACACGGCCCAGACUCCUACGGGAGGCAGCAGUGGGGAAUAUUGGACAAUGGGCGCAAGCCUGAUCCAGCCAUGCCGCGUGAGUGAUGAAGGCCUUAGGGUUGUAAAGCUCUUUUAUCCGGGACGAUAAUGACGGUACCGGAGGAAUAAGCCCCGGCUAACUUCGUG
rnacentral:rRNA from 1 species